rnacentral:misc_RNA from 1 species
UGGAGUAUGACAAAAGUACGAACAUUUGUUUCCAACUAGAGGCGGAUUCAGAGUUUUAAGUUUGAAAUACGUUCUUAUACAUAUUGAACCCGUAACUCCAACCGCAUGCCUAUUCUAGGUCUAUUUAACUAGAAGUUCAUACAAAAUCUGAAUGAAACUAUCAAUAUAGUUGCUCAUGAAACCAGGACUUGAAAGAACUUCCUUCCAUUUUCUAUGAUUCUCUUUCACCAAACAGCCAACUUGGCUAUCUUUAUCCAUGACACAUUUCACAGCCUUGCACAAACUCUCCUUUGAAAACCAACCAUUUUCAUCCUUCUUCACUUCAACACCAACCUUAAGAUCUUGUUCCAUCAUCCUAGCACUUAAAGUUUGAUCAUUAGCACUUGGCAAAAGUACUAAUUGACAAUCACACAAUGCUAAAGAUUCCCACAUUGAUCCAUAACCACAGUGUGACACAAAACAACCAACUGAUUUGUGAGUUAAAAUCUUCAACUGAGGCACCCAACAAGCAAGAACCAAUCCUUUUUCUUGAACCCUUUCUUUGAAUCCCUCAGGCAGGGCUUCUUCUACUGAAUUUGUUCCUUCAGGUGGCUUAAGAACUACCAGAAAUGGCAGACCUGUUAGUUCAAGGCCUAAAACAAGUUCUUGAAACUGUUUCUUUUCGAGAAUCAAUUGGCUUCCAAAUGCACAGAACACCACCGAUCCUGGUUCGAACUUCUCGAGCCAAUUCGAUAAUCCAUGUUCUGCUAAAGGCCCCUUUUCAGGAUCAGGAAGAACAGGUCCAGUGUAAAGGACUGGUUUUUUAAAUUGUGUGGCGAUGUAGUCACCAAAUGUUCCUUCAAUCUCUCGACAUGUUUUCAAAGCUAUUGCAUCGCAUAGCGUCAUUCCCUUUGUCAACCGUUCAUAUAUUGUCACUCCCUUGCCAUAUUCUUGAAACAGAAACUCUAGCAACUUAGCUUCGUGUUCGUGCAACACCACAGUAGUAGAAGGGUAACCUGGUGGUGGCUUUACUAGCUCAGCAGCCGUUGAUGUCAUAAAAGUAGCCUUAUCCGUUGAUUUACACAGUGCAGCAGGGGAAAUAAG